AAAUAUUCCAACACACUAUCUUGCUACUUUGUGACAAAAAGUGGAAUGUGUUGGCUUUUAUGUCCACGUGACACAUGAAUGCUGGGAAAGGACAGAGCAAACUCUAUGGUCUGAACUGUUCAAACGACUGUAAUACUAUAACUAACUGUGCUGAGUUUUGCUGUAACUUCUAAGUGUCCUGCUUCUAGAGGGGGCAGUCCCUCUGUUCCAUUGUAAUGGCCCUGUUUUCUAGGAGCUUCAUAUUGUUAGAGUAUAACCAAGCUCCACAGCAAUAAUACAUACAGUAAUGUGUCUUAAAAUUACACAAGCCGGGUUAAUCA